rnacentral:rRNA from 1 species
GACGAACGCUGGCGGCGUGCUUAACACAUGCAAGUCGAACGGUGAAGCGCUUGCCUUUUUGGUGGGUGUGGAUGAGUGGCGAACGGGUGAGUAACACGUGAGUAACCUGCCCUCUUCUUCUGGAUAACCUCAUGAAAGUGGGGCUAAUACGGGGUAUUCCGGGUCUGUCGCAUGGCGGGUUUGGGAAAGAUUGCGCCUUUGGGUGUUUUCGGUGGGGGAUGGGCUCGCGGCCUAUCAGCUUGUUGGUGGGGUGAUGGCCUACCAAGGCGGUGACGGGUAGCCGGACUGAGAGGGUGGACGGCCACACUGGGACUGAGACACGGCCCAGACUCCUGCGGGAGGCAGCAGUGGGGAAUAGUGCACAAUGGGCGCAAGCCUGAUGCAGCGACGCCGCGUGAGGGAUGGAGGCCUUCGGGUUGUGAACCUCUUUCGCCAGGGAAGCAGGCCUGCUCCUGUGUGGGUGAGUUGACGGUAGCUGGAUAAGAAGCGCCGGCUAACUACGUG